UACCAGCACCCAGAGUGGGCGGGACGAUUAUUGGGCCUAAAGCAUCCGUAGCCGGUUCUGCAAGUCCCCCGUUAAAUCCAGCUGCUCAACAGAUGGGCCGCGGAGGAUACUACAGAGCUAGGAGGCAGGAGAGGCAAGCGGUACUCAGUGGGUAGGGGUAAAAUCCGUUGAUCCAUUGAAGACCACCAGUGGCGAAGGCGGCUUGCCAGAAUGCGCUCGACGGUGAGGGAUGAAAGCUGGGGGAGCAAACCGG
rnacentral:rRNA from 1 species